rnacentral:lncRNA from 1 species
AAGAAAAAAGGAAGAACAAAAGGAAAAACAAGAAAACCUAGGUGAAAAUUCAAAGAAAAAGUGAAGAAAUCAAGGAAACAAGCUAGGUAAGUUAAAAUUUCUUUAAUUCUCCUUGAUACCUAGCUUACCCAUGCUUUUGUUCUUGAUUUCCAUGGUUGAAUAUUGAGUUAUCAUGAUGAAUUCAAUUCUGAAAAAUGGGUAUGGAAGAGGAAUUGUUGUUGGAAUAAUUUGAUUUUAGACUAUGUUAGUGUUUAGGGAUAGUUAAGCAUGGUUAUGAACAAAAACACAAAAGAAAUAUUCAAUUUCUCUAGGGUUCCUUGUUGGCCGAACCAUGAGGGCUGAAUAUCAAUGGGGGAUUGUUUUUAUUUCAAGGAAAAUGGCAUGGAAAAUGAUGAAUUAAGGUGAAACGGUUAUGUAGAAAAAAAUUCGAUGCUAGUACACCAAAUGACCAAAUUUUUUCUAUAAGGAAUUGUGAGGGUUCUAAUGCUGAAUUUGGCUUUAUUUAAAUGUAUGUGGUAAAUUAAGGUAUUAGAGGAGAAAUGAAUUAAUUUGGAGGUGAUUUGGACACAAUCGCCGAUUAAUCGGGUGAUCGGUCGAAUUUAAUCGAUACCGUGAUUAAGCGGUAAUCGGACAUAUUUUUGCAUUUACAUAUCAAGCAUUAGUAGUUUAAAUUAAUUUAUAUCAAUUUAGGGACAAUAUAGUAAAUUCCUCGACUUUGUUAUUUGUCAAGGUGGUGAGACGUCCGGAAAAGGCAAAGGAAUUACGCCUGAGGACUAUUAGUCAGAGUUCACCCGGAAUUCGAAUUUUCGACACCUGUGAGUGGACUGCCUAUCAAAAUUGUUUUGGGAAUAUGACUGUUUUGAACAAAGUGUUUGAAUGAUUUUAUGCAAUUUUUCAUGAAAAUGAAUGCCUUGGGAACAAGCUUUUGAGAAAAGGUUUAUGUUAUGAAAUGUGGUUAUUAUGGAUUUCUAUGUGGCUGCAUUAUGUUGAUAUACAUAUAUGCUUGAAUAUAAUGUUGUGUAAUUAUGUUGACUCGACUAUGUGCGAGUAGGGAGUGCGCAUAAGCCGAGGAUGACCCGGUUAUGUGCGAGUAGGGAGUGCGCAUAACCCGGUGAUGACCCAGCCAUGUGCGAGUAGGGAGUGCGCAUGAGCUGGUGAUGAUGAUGAUGAGCUGGUGAUGAUGAUGAUGGGUUGGUGAGAUGAUGAUGAUGGGUAUAUACGUAUAUAUAUAUAUAUAUAUAUAUAUAUACAUAUGUAAAUAUGUGUGAUAUAGCAAAUUGAUGGACAAUGAUUUAUGGUUGUAAUGUACAUGAAAGUUGACACAUUGUACUUUGAGAAUUUUCAUGAAUUUUAGGUUGAUUUUAUUAGUUUAGUAGGAUGGCUUUUUGUUGAGUGGGGAAAAAUGUUUCUCUUGUUGCUCUGUUUUCACUGUAGCGAAAUUCAUGCUCGCUGUAGCGAAAAACUCUGGGGUUUGGAGGGGUUUUAAAUAGGAAUGAACUAAAUUGCAUUGUUUUGAAACAAGUGCAUCAUGAUUUUAAAUUUUCCAUAAUUGUUGCUUGUUCCCUUCCUUGUUCACUCACUGGGUUUAUACUCACCAUUUUCAAAUUCAUGUUUUCAGAUCACGAGGUAGUUGAUAAUUAGGACGAGGUGUCCUUG